rnacentral:lncRNA from 10 species
GAUCCUCCUACAUCAGCCUCCCAAAGUUCUGGGAUUACAGUUGUCAGCCACCAUGUCUGGCAAACUCAAUUCUUUUUAAUGACAGUAUAAUACUCCUCUGUAUGGAUGUUCCAAAAUAUAUUCACCCAUUCCCUUAUUUAUGAGCAUUCACUUCAUUUCUCCCACCACAAAUUAUACCAUUAAUUUGUACAUUUAGUCUAUGUACGAGUGCUUUUAUUUCCGUGAACCAAAAUUUUAGAAAUAGAAUUUGCUGGGUCAAAGGACGCACACACAUAGUUGUUACGGAAUAAUAAAUAGAUAUAAAUAACAUUCAUUACAUCUAGUGUAGACAAAAUAACAAAACAAAUAUCUGUCCACUUACUAACUAGUUUAAGAAAUACAAAUUUACCUGUGCUCUGAGGCCUCCUGGGUGUCCCCUAUAUAAUCCCUUUUCCUGUUCAGAAAGGAAAACCAAACCAAACCAAAACUAUCCUAAAAUUUUUCUUUACCUUUCUUCUUUUUUAUAAAAUUAUUUACUAUGUAAAAUUAAAAAAAUUUUUUUUCAGCACCUGACACUCCCAGUGUGGGCUGAGAUGCUGAGGCUAGGAUCAUUUCUUGUUGGUGGCAAACUCCAGAUUUUUUUGUCUGAAAAUGUCUUGAAACAGAUAACCUGGCUGAAAUCCUGGUUUUAUCAUUUCUUAGUCAUGUGACUCUAGAUAUGCACCAUAACCUCUGGAAUCAUUGGUUUAUUCAUCUGCAAAACUGGUAAUCUUGAGUACAUUCAUUCUCUGCUGGGUAAGACAAGUUUGGGAGGGAAGAUGCACUGAGAAGCUCCUGAGCAGAUGAGUUCUCUAGAAGAACGCCAAGAUCCAAAGCAAAACAGAAUAAAAGAUACACCAUAAUCACCUCUCUGAAUGUUUGAAAACUGUAGGGAGGCUGGGCGCCUUGUUAGCCAACUCCAACAAUCUAUUUUUAACAGAAAAAUCCAAUGUGAACACUAAGAAAAAGAAUUGGUAUUCCAUGGAUGAGC